ensembl:rRNA 5S_rRNA 5S ribosomal RNA
AGUUAUAGCCAUGCCACUCUGAACGUGCCUGAUCUCAUCUGAUCUCGGAAUCUAAGCAAGGUCGGGCCUGGUUAGUACUUGGAUGGGAGUCCACCUAGGAAUACCAGGUGCUGUAGGCA